ACUGUACAGUAGAGUUUGAUCCUGGCUCAGGAUUAACGCUGGCGGAGUGCCUAACACAUGCAAGUCGAGCGGCAGCGGGAGUAGUUUACUACUUGCCGGCGAGCGGCGGACGGCUGAAUAACGCGUGGGAACGUGCCCCAAAGUGAGGAAUAACUGCCCGAAAGGGUAGCUAAUGCCGCAUAUGAUCUUCGGAUUAAAGUAUUUAUUACGCUUUGGGAGCGGCCCGCGUCCGAUUAGGUAGUUGGUGAGGUAAAGGCUCACCAAGCCCACGAUCGGUAGCUGGUCUGAGAGGAUGACCAGCCAGACUGGAACUGAGACACGGUCCAGACUCCUACGGGAGGCAGCAGUGAGGAAUCUUCCACAAUGGACGAAAGUCUGAUGGAGCAACUCCGCGUGCAGGAUGAAGGCCUUAGGGUCGUAAACUGCUUUUAUGAGUGAAGAAUAUGACGGUAACUCAUGAAUAAGGGUCGGCUAACUACGUGCCAGCCGCCGCGGUAAU
rnacentral:rRNA from 1 species